rnacentral:lncRNA from 1 species
CGAAAGAGUUGUAGGCUUACAACUCGAUUAUGAUGAGAUCGAGGAUGAGUUAAUAAUAAGUGAGGGAAGCUUUGAAAGAAUGUCUGGUCUCCAAUUCUUAAGGACAACAAGGGGAGACAGAUAUAAACACUCAAGCCCAAACUAUCUACCUCGAAAAGUUAAAUUACUGCAUUGUGGACAUUCUUUGAUGACAUGCCUGCCUUCUAAUUUUAAUACGGAUUCGCUCGUCGAGCUAAACAUGCCUCACAGCAAGCUUGAGAAAUUGUGGGAUGGAAUUAAAGUAAGUCAUUUUCUUUCUCUAAAACUUUGUGUAUUUUACUUCGGUUUUAUUCGAAUACAUAGUUUUUCUUUUUGUACACUAUGUUCUAGCUGAAAAUAGAAAAGUGAUCUCACCACACCCCUUUUUUUUUGUUGCUGGAAUUAAAUCUCAAUGGCAUUAUAAUGUGUUUAUGAGUUUUUUUUUUUGUGAUGAGUUAACUACUAAGUGUAUCAACGUACGUAUUUGUUUCUCUGUACAGACGAUUAAAAAUCUCAAGUGGAUGGAUUUGAGUCGUUCCUCUAAUCUGAAAGAACUUCCUGAUCUUUCAACUGCCACUAAUCUCCGCGUACUGAAACUUCAAAAUUGCUCGGGUUUGGUGAAGCUCCCAUCUUCUAUUGGGAAUGCUACUAAACUUCUGAAAUUAGAUCUCAGUGGUUGUUCAAAUCUAGUGGAACUCCCAUCUUCUAUUGGGAAUCUUAUUAAUCUCACGGAGUUGUAUCUCAGUGGUUGUUCAAAUCUAGUGGAACUCCUAUCUUCUAUUGGGAAUCUUAUUAAUCUCAAACACCUAGAUCUUAGAAGUUGCUCAAAUCUGGUGGAGCUCCCAUCUUCUAUUGGGAAUGCUACUAAACUUCUGAAAUUGGAUCUCAGUGGUUGUUCAAAUCUAGUGGAGCUCCCAUCUUCUAUUGGGAAUCUUAUUAAUCUCACGGAGUUGUAUCUCAUUGAUUGUUCAAAUCUAGAGGAGCUCCCAUCUUCUAUUGGGAAUCUUAUUAAUCUCACGGAGUUGUAUCUCAUUGAUUGUUCAAAUCUAGAGGAGCUCCCAUCUUUUAUUGGGAAUCUUAUUAAUCUCGAACAACUAGAUCUUAGAAGUUGCUCAAAUCUGGUGGAGCUCCCAUCUUCUAUUGGGAAUGCUACUAAACUUCUGAAAUUGGAUCUCAGUGGUUGUUCAAAUCUAGUGGAGCUCCCAUCUUCUAUUGGGAAUGCUACUAAACUUCUGAAAUUAGAUCUCAGUGGUUGUUCAAAUCUAGUGGAACUCCCAUCUUCUAUUGGGAAUCUUAUUAAUCUCACGGGCUUGGAUAUCAGUGGUUGUUCAAAUCUAGUGGAACUCCCAUCUUCUAUUGGGAAUCUUAUUAAUCUCGAACAACUAGAUCUUAGAAGUUGCUCAAAUCUGGUGGAGCUCCCAUCUUCUAUUGGGAAUCUUAAUAAUCUCGAACAACUAGAUCUUAAAAGUUGCUCAAAUCUAGUGGAACUCCCAUCUUCUAUUGGGAAUCUUAUUAAUCUCAAACACCUAGAUCUUAGAAGUUGCUCAAAUCUGGUGGAGCUCCCAUCUUCUAUUGGGAAUGCUACUAAACUUCUGAAAUUGGAUCUCAGUGGUUGUUCAAGUCUAGUGGAGCUCCCAUCUUCUAUUGGGAAUCUUAUUAAUCUCGCAGAGUUGAAUGUUAGUAGGUGCUCAAGUCUAGCGGAGCUCCCAUCUUCUAUUGGGAAUGCUACUAAACUUCGGAAAUUGGAUAUCAGUGGUUGUUCAAGUCUAGUGGAGCUCCCAUCUUCUAUUGGGAAUCUUAUUAAUCUCACGGAGUUGGAUCUUAGUUGGUGCUCAAGUCUAGAGGUGCUCCUAUCUUCUAUUUGGAAUGCUACUAAACUUCUGAAAUUGAAUCUCAGUUGUUCAAGUCUAGUGGAGUUCCCAUAUUCUAUUGGGGAUCUUAUUAAUCUCACGAAGUUGGAUCUCAGUAGUUGUUCAAGUCUAGUGAAGCUCCCAUCUUCUAUUGGGAAUCUUAUUAAUCUCACGGAGUUGGAUAUCAGUGAUUGUUCAAGUCUAGAGGAGCUCCCAUCUUCUAUUGGGAAUGCUACUAAACUUCUGAAAUUGGAUCUCAUUGAUUGUUCAAAUCUAGAGGAGCUCCCAUCUUCUAUUGGGAAUCUUAUUAAUCUCAAACACCUAGAUCUUAGAAGUUGCUCAAAUCUGGUGGAGCUCCCAUCUUCUAUUGGGAAUGCUACUAAACUUCUGAAAUUGGAUCUCAGUGGUUGUUCAAGUCUAGUGGAGCUCCCAUCUUCUAUUGGGAAUCUUAUUAAUCUAACGAAGUUGGAUCUUAAUUGGUGCUCAAAUCUAGUGGAGCUCCCAUCUUCUAUUGGGAAUCUUAUUAAUCUCAAACACCUAGAUCUUAGAAGUUGCUCAAAUCUGGUGGAGCUCCCAUCUUCUAUUGGGAAUGCUACUAAACUUCUGAUAUUGGAUCUCAGUGGUUGUUCAAGUCUAGUGGAGCUCCCAUAUUCUAUUGGGGAUCUUAUUAAUCUCACGGAGUUGGAUCUCAGUAGUUGUUCAAGUCUAGUGAAGCUCCCAUCUUCUAUUGAGAAUCUUAUUAAUCUCCAGACCUUGAAGCUUAUAGGCUGCUCAAGUCUAGAGGCUCUUCCGAUCAACAUCGACAUGGAAUCUCUCGAUACACUUUUUCUCACUGGUUGCUCAUCGUUGAAAACCUUUCCUGAGAUUUCCACAAAAAUUAAGACUCUUUGGAUUUGUGGAACUGCAAUAGAAGAAAUUCCUUCGUCAUUCAGGUCAUGGUCUUGUCUUGAGGACUUGCAAAUGCCAUACUGUGAAAACCUGGCGGAAUUUCCGCAUGCUUUUGGCUGCAUCACGGAGCUUCAGGUGAGCAAUACAAGAAUACAAGAAAUUGCUCCAUGUGUCAAGGAAAUGUCUCGUCUACGUACACUUGUAAUCAAGGGAUGCACAAAUCUUGUUUCGCUCCCAGAGCUUCCAGGCUCCUUAAGAGUCCUGCUUGCAGAAAAUUGCGAGUCACUAGAGACACUAGAUUGCUCUUUUCACAAGAUAGAGUUUGAUCGUCUCUUGUUUAGCAACUGCUUCAAAUUGAAUCAAGAAGCAAGAGACCUUAUCAUCAAGACAUCGAUUAGUAUUAAAGAUGGCUAUGAAAUCUUACCCAGAGAAAUAGAGAUCUCUCAUCUCUAUCACCAACAAUUACGACGGCAACUGGUUCUCCAACAGUGUCCGUAUGCAUGAUUUGCUAGUACGGUUUGGUAGAGAAAUUGUUCGUCGACAAUCCAUUUAUGAUCCUGGGCAGCGUCAGUUUUUGUUUAAUGCCCAAGAUAUAUGCCAAGAACUAAAUAAUGAUACACUAGUAAGUUUUCACAUUAUCCUUCACUGUGUGUUGCUCCUUAGACCAUACGAAAUUUAAUAACUAACCAUAUUUAUUUACGUAUGUGUCAUUGGAUUCUUUUUCAGGGUAGCGAAAGAGUUGUAGGCUUACUAUUCGAUUAUGAUGAGAUCGAGGAUGAGUUAAUAAUAAGUGAGAGAGCCUUUGAAAGAAUGUCUAGUCUCCAAUUCUUAAGAACAAACUAUCACUUUGCCGUAAACUCAAGCCCAAACUAUCUACCUCGAAAAGUUAAAUUACUGCAUUGUGGACAUUCUUUGAUGACAUGCCUGCCUUCUAAUCUUAAUACGGAUUUCCUCGUCGAGCUAAACAUGCCUCACAGCGAGCUUGAGAAAUUGUGGGAUGGAAUUAAAGUAAGUCAUUUUCUUUCUCUAAAACUUUGUAUAUACUUCGGUUUUAUUCGAAUACAUAGUUUUUCUUUUUGUACACUGCUCUAGCUGAAAAUAGAAAACUGAUCUCACCACACCCUUUUUUUGUUGCUGGAAUUAAAUCUCAAUGGCAUUAUAAUGUGUUAAUGAGUUUUUUUUUUUUUUGUGAUGAGUUCACUACUAAGUGUAUCAACGUACGUAUUUGUUUCUCUGUACAGACG